CGGCCGGGUCGGCCGGGGUGUGGUCGGCCGCCCGCCGGGCGGCGUUGCGGAUGGCGCGCAGGCGCAGCAGCAGGUCGUCGCCGCCCCGGCCGA
rnacentral:tRNA from 1 species